CAAAAAUAAAAUCUACUGCAAAGUGGCGGAUGAAAACGGGAAGAAGCUCUCUGUGGAAGUGGCCAUUAUGCUGAAACUUGCAGGUGAAGCAGAAGGGUCAGUGGGAACAUCAGCACCUGUGUCCUUGCUGGAGUGGUUCGACCUUGGCAAAGAACUGAUCCUGGUGCUGGAGAGACCUGUCCCGCUGUGGACCUGCAAAAAUACAAAGCAGAAAAUGGAAGAACUUUACCAGAGGACAAGGCCAAGGUCAUUCUGAAGCAACUAGUUGAUGCUGCAAAGGAACUUGAGGAUAAAAACAUCUUUCAUCGGGACAUCAAGGGAGAAAACAUUCUGAUUGAGACCGGCUCAGAUGUGCCUCGUGUUCGCAUCAUUGACUUUGGACUGAGCUGCUUUGUUAAGCAGCGAUCUCUGUAUCGCGUCUUCUAUGGUACUCCUCUUCACACCCCUCCCGAGUGGUACAGGAGGAGCUGCUACAGGUGUGGACCCACCACGGUGUGGCAAAUGGGAGUGGUGCUGUAUGAAGCGGUUCAUGCACGGGACUUUGAUACCGAGAGGUUCCUCAGCAAGAAACUGAGCAUCAAAAAGCGUCUGUCCACAAAAUGCCGGAAUUUCUUGGAAGCAUGCUUAACUAAAGUCCCGGAGAAGCGCCCAACACUGGAGGAGCUCCAGCAUCACCCCUGGCUAAGAUAACACACACACAAACACACAAAUCACACAAUUCACAUCUUAUCAUGCAAGUGUGAUACAUUGUAGUAACUUGCUUUCUGUUUUCUGUUGGACAGGAAUAGAUAGAAUGGGACAAUUAAAAACAAAAUCAAAAUUUUUCUUUCUUGGAGUUCCUGUAACCCCUCCAGCCAUCCCAGGAAAGGGGAUCUCUCUUUGAAUGGGCUUUCCCGAGGUUUCUUCCCAUCAAUCUGGCCCCCUGGGGAGUUUUUCCUCGUCUUCAUAGAGAGCUUGGGCUGGGUCAGGUGCUCCCUCAAAACUGUCUUUAUUUGAUGACAUCAAAUAAAGAUGUUUUACUUAAAGUAAAAUUUGAUCAAAAUAAAACUUGUUUAAUUUA